GCCUGUAGCGCAAUGGAUAGCGCGUUGGACUUUUAAUCCAAAGGUCGUAGGUUCACGCCCUACCUGAGAUG